GAUGAACGCUGGCGGCGUGCCUAAUACAUGCAAGUCGAGCGAACAGACGAGGAGCUUGCUCCUCUGACGUUAGCGGCGGACGGGUGAGUAACACGUGGAUAACCUACCUAUAAGACUGGGAUAACUUCGGGAAACCGGAGCUAAUACCGGAUAAUAUAUUGAACCGCAUGGUUCAAUAGUGAAAGACGGUUUUGCUGUCACUUAUAGAUGGAUCCGCGCCGCAUUAGCUAGUUGGUAAGGUAACGGCUUACCAAGGCGACGAUGCGUAGCCGACCUGAGAGGGUGAUCGGCCACACUGGAACUGAGACACGGUCCAGACUCCUACGGGAGGCAGCAGUCGGGAAUCUUCCGCAAUGGGCGAAAGCCUGACGGAGCAACGCCGCGUGAGUGAUGAAGGUCUUCGGAUCGUAAAACUCUGUUGUUAGGGAAGAACAAAUGUGUAAGUAACUAUGCACGUCUUGACGGUACCUAAUCAAAAAGCCCCGGCUAACUACGUG
rnacentral:rRNA from 1 species